GGCUGGUUAGGUCAGUUGGUUAGAGGGUGGUGCUAAUAACGCCAAGGUCGCAGGUUCGAUCCCGGUACGGGCCA
rfam:Colius striatus contig82996, whole genome shotgun sequence.